CCGGCGGGAUCUGGAUGUGGCUCAUGCCGGCGGCGGCCGAAGGGAUAGACGGGUUGGGCCGCCGGCGGCCACUGUCUCCGCGCUCACUCACGCCGGCCUUUCGCUCCGCGCCCGCGAGGUCUCUUCGCGCACGGCCCCGGCUCACGUCGCGCCGCUCUUUGGCCGGCUCUGCGUUUCCGGGCCGCGCAACCCUACGCUACCACGGCCGACCUGGCACCGCCGCCGCUGUCACUGGGCAGCCGCCGCCGCCGCGGGGACCGACGGGCAGGCGAGCUGGACGGGCGGGGCAGGCGUCCUGGUUGUGACGCACGCCACCGCGGGCGUGCGCGUCCCCGCUUAGCACCGGCCCUCAGUGCGCUUGCGCCACUAGAUGACCCGCCCCCUCGGGCUGUCGGGGGGUCGAGACAGUGGAGUGUUCCUGAUGCCAGCUCACGGAGGGAAUCCAGGGAAUUAGCUGAUGCCAAGAGCCUCUUUUUGGCCAGCACUUACUAAGCACCAGAGACACAGCGAGAAGCAGAAGCAUACGAGCACAUCAGUGUGAUUCUGCUGUGAUGAAGGGCAAGAGAGGGCUCACUUUCCGGCGUGACAUUCAAGCUAGCCCCGAGGCCUGAGCAGGACCCGCCCAGGGGAAGAUCUGGAGGAAAGCCAUCUGAACAUACAACAAGAGCAAAGGCCUGGUGGAGUCAAGACCACCUUGGCUGCCAGGUGGAAUGGUGGAAUAACUCAGGAGUCUGUCAGGUCUCUGAGAUGUCAAACGGGUAAGGCCUUGUAGGAAGUAGGCGUUUGAAUGAGAUCAUAAUUUGAGAGCCACAGACAGAAAAAUAAAUUUGAAAGAGUUCACUC
rnacentral:lncRNA from 1 species